CCUGACAGAACGCGCAUGCGCCCAAAUGGCCCGCGAGAAGAAAGCGGACCAGUCAUUCCUGAGUGCCGGGUCCUUGGUGAGAGGCGCAUGCGCGCGCCAUGGAACGAAACGAAAGGCGGAGGACUUCUCGUGCGUACUGCAUUCGCGAGGAAAGAACUGCAAAUCUCAGCAUGCGUUGCUGCGAACAUAGACCAGCAACCCCCGACUGUCAACGGAGUCAUCUAACUUUCGUGGAUUAGACGAAGCAGUGCAUGCUGGGAUCCAUUAUUUGCGAGCCUGUCAGAAGCCAUGCAAAUUGGGAAUUGCAGUCUUGACUUUACCAAUCAUUGCAUGAUGGAGGAGGAAGAAAGUGAGGUUUGCUUGUACGUAGUUUAUGAGGACUCGCAGCUAUUAGACAGUCUGCAUCCUCACUAUGGCCAGAGCAUGUUAGAGGCAGUUUUCCGGUCAAAUUUUGCUCCUGGUUUUCUACUCCAUAUGUUUAUAUUCUUUUGAAGAUUUUUUAAAACAGGAUAUUGAAAUCUGAUUGCAACAGCAUGCUUCUGUUCAUGUUUCCUCGGAAUUAAGUCCCACUGAAUUCAAUGGGCCUUACUGUCGAUUAAGUGUGGAUAGAAUUGCAGCCCAAGUGGGACCAACAAAAGGACACAUAGAGCUUCUGAUGCUGCUACUGUGAGAAUGCUCAACUGUGCUUUAGUACUGAGCUCAGACAGGUACCAGUCUCUUUCUCACAUCCUACAAUCUAGUUUUUUAAAAAAGGAAGAUUCACUGUUCUCUAGUUCUUGGUGAUCAGUUAUGAUAAACUCAGAAAAAUAAGCACAUUGUUCCCUACCUUUGCACAAAAAGGUAUUUUUGUGGCAGCUGUCUGGAAGCAGCUUCUGGCUGGAAGCUGGCAAUAAUUUUUGUAAACUGAAAAUGGUAAGAUAAAACGUUUUGUUGCUCAUGUGUA